UGCAGAUGAUGUAAAAGAAUAUUUGCUAUCUUAAGAUCACUGAUGACAAUUUCCCACCAAGAUCGCUGAUGCA
ensembl:snoRNA SNORD24 Small nucleolar RNA SNORD24